rnacentral:lncRNA from 1 species
AGGUUUAUGCUCCUACAAAUGCACAUGUUUACAAGAACCCUGCAUACUCUUCCAGCCAGGGCUCUCCAGGGCACAGAAGAAUGGGGGAGGGCUUGGUCAUUUCCUAAAACAGUGUGUGGAUAAGCAAACAGCCACUCCUUGAGAAAGUCCCAGAAUAAGCAAACGGAUUUAAUGUUGUUCAAUCUUACUUUCUCCAAAUAAAUUUAACUCCAGGACUUUUAUUUUUUUCAUUUGCAACUCUAGUUAACAUUUCAAAGAACCUCUAGGGCAAAUCUUGACAUGAAGCCGUUCAGAACCCGCCCCUACCCCCCGAGUCUCACACAUUCGAUCGCCUCUCACCUUUGCCUAUGAAUCGAACUCAUUCUUCAAGGUCCUCUUGGAAUACCCCUCUUCCAGGAAGUUUGUACUGAUUCCUUUAGCUAGAAACAACCUUUUCUUGUAGGAAGCUUCAUGUUAGGGACUUUCUUGAGUGUCUUCAGAGCAGACCCUGGGUGGCAUGGUGGUUGAGACAUGAAUUUUGGAGUCAGAUGCAAGUUUGAGACCUGGUACAACCUCAGAAGAGUGGGAUGACCUUGGAGAAUGUUACUCAGCUUCUCUGAGCCUCAUCUGUGUUUCCUCUACUGCAAUAUAGGAUAAUAGUAGAACCCGUUUGCAAUGUUUUCACAUGAACAGCUCAGCAGAGUACAAAUCACAUAGUAAGCAUAUAAUGAGUGGCAGUUGCUACUAUUAUUAUUAUUAUUAUCACCACCAUUAGGGAUGUUAGUAUCUCUUUGUAGAAUUGAUUUCAGUCCACACCAGGACAUCACAGGGCCAUUUGGAGUGUGUCUGUAGCCAUAGAUGUGAACUUGAAGAUCUACUCAGGUCUAUCCCUGUCCAGGUGGGCGACUGGAUCUCUAUACCUUUAUAUGCAAAAUAUGUGCACUAGAAACACAGUGCAAAGUGGGUGCACUAGCCUCAUGAUGGCAUGGUGAGCAGGACGUAAAGGUCUCCUUCAUGAACAUGGAAGGGUUUGGCCCAGAUCCCCCACUCACACUGGCACUGUCUUCCACCUCUUGCCCACCCUGUCAUUCCCUUCCCCAAUGAGGUGUUCUACUUGGAUGGUCUGGGUGCAGGAGGAGACAUUUUUCCUCUUCAGUAAUGCUGUUGCAAAACCUUCUCUAUGCUCUUUUUCCUACACGGAAAAUCAACUUGGCAAUAUGUAGCUCACCUAAAGUGCCAGUACAUACUUGGCCAGUGGAUAGGCUGGCUGGGCAUCUCCGCUAAGUAAAUUUGGGCAUUUAAGACUGUUGCGAGUUGGGAACUAUGGGAAGGAGACUGUGAGUUGGAGCUCAGCAUGCAGGAUGUUUAUUAGGAAGCCUUUUGGAAACACCACCCAUGGAAGGGAGAGGAUGGAAACAGAACUGGGCAGAGGGAGAAUUUGAGCUGGAACAGAGUCCCAAAAUGAUCUUGGCCAAUGGCACUUGGCUAGCCAGAGUUUGAAGGGCUCUUCAGAGUCUGCCCAAGUUGGGGGUGAGGGCUAGGUGUGGGUCUCCCUGGGGAGUGAGCAAGACUUGGGUGUG